rnacentral:misc_RNA from 1 species
AACGCACAUUGCGCCCUUUGGUAUUCCAAAGGGCAUGCCUGUUCGAGCGUCAUUUGUACCCUCAAGCUUUGCUUGGUGUUGGGCGUCUUGUCUUUGCUCCGCCAAAGACUCGCCUUAAAACGAUUGGCAGCCGGCCUACUGGUUUCGCAGCGCAGCACAUUUUUGCGCUUGCAAUCAGCAAAAGAGGACGGCACUCCAUCAAGACUCCUUCUCACGUUUGACCUCGGAUCAGGUAGGGAUACCCGCUGAACUUAA